rnacentral:lncRNA from 1 species
AUAUAAGCUUAUUUUUACCUCUUUUUUUGAAUCAAUUUUUAGUGGUUUUACAUGUAUGCACAAGAAGGAUUUGUACGUGGCUUUAGAGGAUUCAAAAUGAAUAAUUGUUUAACUAAGAUUGAUAAGGUGAAUUAUAUUGUUGAUAUGAGUUUUCUAUGUUCAUGUAGAAUAUUCUACGAGGUUUAAAGUCUUUAGAGUUUUGUCAAAGAGAUUUUAGGUAAGAAAAACUAACUAUUUGGCCGCUUUAAAAUUUGUUGUGUUUAGUUGAUUUCAUGGUGUUUAGAAAUGUUGAGCGUUUUGUUGAAUAUUGGUUGUUCUUGUGAAUUGAAUGAUUCCCCCUGAUUGAACACAAUUUGAGAAUAUGUAUAUUAGUUUGUAUUACUUGGCUUAAGAAGAUCUAUUUUAGAAUUAAAUUGUUCCUGUUUUGGCUUGUAAAAUAGAUUAAAUAUAAUAAUUGGAUCCAAUUGAGCAUAUUGAUAUGUUCUUCAAAAUUCUAAAAUUACUUAGACUCACAGGGUAAUCUAACCAACCACAAGGUGAUCAGAAAAAAAAACAAAUUUAAGG